ACCCAUGUGGCUCAAUGGUAGAGCGUCGCCCUCCUAUCUUACCAAGGAACUGAAUAGGUGAAGGUUGAAGGUUCGAGUCCUUCCAUGGGUG